UCCCAGACUCCUACGGGAGGCAGCAGUGGGGAAUAUUGCACAAUGGGCGAAAGCCUGAUGCAGCAACGCCGCGUGAAGGAAGAAGGGUUUCGGCUCGUAAACUUCUAUCAACAGGGACGAAAGAAAUGACGGUACCUGACCAAGAAGCUCCGGCUAAAUACGUGCCAGCAGCCGCGGUAAUACGUAGGUGGCAAGCGUUGUCCGGAUUUACUGGGUGUAAAGGGCGUGCAGCCGGGCUGACAAGUCAGAUGUGAAAUCCCGCGGCUCAACCGCGGAACUGCAUUUGAAACUGUCAGUCUUGAGUACCGGAGAGGUCAUCGGAAUUCCUUGUGUAGCGGUGAAAUGCGUAGAUAUAAGGAAGAACACCAGUGGCGAAGGCGGAUGACUGGACGGCAACUGACGGUGAGGCGCGAAAGCGUGGGGAGCAAACAGGAUUAGAUACCCCGGUA
rnacentral:rRNA from 1 species